rnacentral:rRNA from 1 species
UUCGGAAAUGAAGAUUUUGUGACUGAGUGGCGGACGGGUGAGUAACGCGUGGGUAACCUGCCUCAUACAGGGGGAUAACAGUUAGAAAUGACUGCUAAUACCGCAUAAGCGCACGGAAUCGCAUGAUUCAGUGUGAAAAGCCGAGACGGUAUGAGAUGGACCCGCGUCUGAUUAGGUAGUUGGUGAGGUAACGGCUCACCAAGCCGACGAUCAGUAGCCGACCUGAGAGGGUGACCGGCCACAUUGGGACUGAGACACGGCCCAAACUCC